UACGUAGGGUGCAAGCGUUGUCCGGAAUUAUUGGGCGUAAAGAGCUCGUAGGCGGUUUGUCGCGUCUGCUGUGAAAACUCGGGGCUUAACCCCGGGCCUGCAGUGGGUACGGGCAGACUAGAGUGCGGUAGGGGAGACUGGAAUUCCUGGUGUAGCGGUGAAAUGCGCAGAUAUCAGGAGGAACACCGGUGGCGAAGGCGGGUCUCUGGGCCGUAACUGACGCUGAGGAGCGAAAGCUAGGGGAGCGAAUGGG
rnacentral:rRNA from 1 species